CUUGGUCAUUUAGAGGAAGUAAAAGUCGUAACAAGGUCUCCGUUGGUGAACCAGCGGAGGGAUCAUUACAGAGUUGCAAAACUCCCAACCAUUGUGAACCUACCUUACCGUUGCUUCGGCGGGUGGCCCCUACCGGGGCCGCGCCGGCCCCAGGGCCGGCAACCCGUCAGAGGACCGAAACUCUUAGUCAUCAUUGGCCUCUCUGAGUAGCUUAUACAAUAAGUUAAAACUUUCAACAACGGAUCUCUUGGUUCUGGCAUCGAUGAAGAACGCAGCGAAAUGCGAUACGUAAUGUGAAUUGCAGAUUUCAGUGAAUCAUCGAAUCUUUGAACGCACAUUGCGCCCGCCAGUAUUCUGGCGGGCAUGCCUGUUCGAGCGUCAUUUCAACCAUCAAGCGCCUCGCUUGUGUUGGGGCCCUGCGGCUGCCGCAGGCCCCCAAAUCCAGUGGCGGGCUCGUCGUCGUACCGAGUGCAGUAAACAUCCUCGCUCAGGGAACCCGACGGGUGCCGGCCGUGAAACCCCCCCUCCUUAAGGUUGACCUCGGAUCAGGUAGGAAUACCCGCUGAACUUAAGCAUAUCAAUAAGCGGAGGAAAAGAAACCAACAGGGAUUGCCCCAGUAACGGCGAGUGAAGCGGCAACAGCUCAAAUUUGAAAUCUGGCCUCGGCCCGAGUUGUAAUUUGCAGAGGAAGCUUCUGGUGCGGCGCCGUCCGAGUCUCCUGGAACGGAGCGCCAUAGAGGGUGAGAGCCCCGUAUGGACGGACGCCAAACCUGUGUGAAGCUCCUUCGACGAGUCGAGUUGUUUGGGAAU
rnacentral:sRNA from 1 species